rnacentral:lncRNA from 1 species
UUUGAAUUCCAACAUGACUGUUCAUUAUUUGUAAUAUAAUUUAGGAAGGAAAAAUAUCUGGAAGAAUAUGGGAAGCAAUGAUCUAAGCAUGGUGGGACCAGUAUAUGGAAGAGGGCUGAGGAUGUGAUCUCUUUAUAGUCUGUAGCAGAAAACAAAUUCAAUGACAGGACAGCUUUCUUCUUCUUGCUUCUUUCUUAGGUAAUUUGAAGCGAACAAUUUGUGUACAUUGCAUCUGAGUCUUAUUCCAACUUCAUUCAAUUUUUUUUUAUAACAAAUACUAGAAAGGUGGACCACCAACUCAGAGCAGCCAUGGAAGGAUAUCCUUAGUGCAAAAUUUAAAAACUAAAAAAAUUGAAAGAGAAAAGAAUGGCAAGGAAGAAGAACCAUUAUUGGGGAGGUUGAAUGAACUCAGGGCAGCCACGGAAAUAGUGCAGAUAUGUUAAAAAUAAAUGUUCAAACGGAAAUUAAUCUUAAACUAAAAUUCAUAGAAUCCAAAGAAAAAGAAACAGAGAAAGUUAUACCUUGAUGGAGAACCGAUCUUGAGCCAUGAGAGGAUUACUAUCAUGGGGUUUGGGAUUUGUGGAAAAAUAAGCAGCAGGUGACCUUGGUUCUAUACUGAACUUCCUGCAAAAUGGUAGCCAAUGUUUUGAGAAGCAAGAGGUCUCUAACAAGGCAUAGAAGGUCAGGUCUGAGCCUCCAUCAUCAGAGAGAUAGCCGCAUAAUUUUUGUGAUGGAUAAUUAUAAGCUAUUGAUUUUCGUGCAACGAUUCUUAGUGAAAAAUUAGAAAAAAAUGAAAAGAAAACACACAGAUUUAACGUGCUUCGAAAGAUUGCCUAUGUCCAUUGGAACACGGAAGAAGACUUUCACUAUAUUUCAAUUAGGGUUACAUAAAAAGGUAUUUAUAUUAACACUCAAGUAUUGAAAUUCUAAGAAUACCCUUGAACUAUACCAUGAAAUAUAAGUUUAAAGGGCAAAUGUCGUCGCUUUGCUCCGGAAUUGACCCAUUUUUUUCCAUGUCUUUCACUCAAUAUAAGUCACAUACUACAACAUAAGCCACGAAUGAUAAAACAGUGUUGAUGACCAUGAUGGGCAGCUCUAUUCUUGGUACUGCAGUGCACACAAAUAUGCCUAUGCCUGGAAAAGCGUUCUCGUAUCUGCAAUUAAGUUUCACAAUAGGCAAUUAGCAAGUGAAGAUGGAGGCAAGAAAAGGGAGAGGAAGAGAGAAAAGAUCACCUCUGAGAGAGCCUGUCUUUGAAGGUGUAGCGAUAGAUGGGGUUCCAUCUGACGAAUUGAGUGAUGAACCAGUACAAACUGAACCACAAUUCAGCUAAAGAUAAACCCAUCCAAGCCCAUCUUCUCAGCAGUUGUCCAUCUGCAGCUGGGAAGUGAACCACCCUAUAAAUACAGAUAAAAGUGAUGCCCACCAAAACUGAUGCUGCAUAGCAUCUGAAUAGUAUACGACCCCUAGCAGCUUUUGUUUCAAAGAGAGGAAGAUAGCCAUCUUUGCCCGUUGCUUCUGUCUUUCUCUGACCACCAUGUGAUCAGCUUAUAUAAAUAGUUUGGUUUGCAUUUUUCAUUUUAUUGUUGUUAUGGUCAAAACUUUACUUUGCCGCUUUAAAUGGCAUCAAAGAAAGGAGUAAAAACAAAUUAUCCCAUCUAAGCCCACACAUCUCUAAAUUGCUUUCCUCUUGUAAAUGAACCGAGCACAAAUAGAACAAGUACCCAUAAAGGUUGAAACUGGAUUAACUGUGAAACAAGAUUUGACCCUUUUCAGCCCUUGUUUCAAACAGAGGAAGAGAAACAUCUCUCUAGCUCUCAUGCUCUCAUACUCUCCCUCUGCUGUCUCAUGCAUUACCUUAUAUAACCUGCCCACUGUUUCCUUUAAAUUCAAGAAUGUUUCUAACAAGGAGACAAGGGAUAUUCAAGGUUUAAGCAUCCUCUGCAUGCACAAACAGAGUUCAUGUGCUCAUUCUUUUUUCCUUAAAAAUUUGCAAUUUCUGGACUCUCUGGUGACACCCUGAUGAACAGGGGUUUAAGCAAGAGGCUUGUAACAAAUUAAAAUGGGUACAUGAUUAAUAUCGAAGCCUUUAUACCUGGAGAAACAUAUACUAUCCAUUAUUGAAAAUUGAAACUGCAUCAGUUAUACAUAUAUAACAGUUCUUCAGAGCCUUAUAUAAUACAUAUAAAGUUGUGGCAAAGAGACUUUGCUUACUGAUACAGUAAACUAAUACAAGGCUAUUGAACAGGCCAACAGCGCUAAAGAAACUGAUUUGUAUGUGACUGAUGUUGGCAUGGUGCCCUUGUCCUUGCGGAAAAAGAGCCCUUGGUAUACAGGCAGGUUGAUGAGAACAAGAACCCCACAUAAGAUAAUCUGCAGAACUAAUGACUCCAAAGGUUUAAUUUGAAUAUCCACAACCACCCUCUUUACACCACAAACAAAACUGAACAGAUUGAGCAAUGCAAGUGUAGCUGAAAUGGUAAACAGUGGUGAAGGAGAACCAAACUCCAUGAUUUCUUGCUCGUAUCUUUGAGACACAUCUUCAUCACACACCUUUGCAGUGACAGCAAAAGUGGUCUCAGCAAAGCCUAGUAUCCUCAAGAUUGUAUCAAGGAAGGCAAAGAAGUAGGAAGUUGUCCUUCUGAACAUCCAUAUUCUUUGAUCAUUCCACCAACCUUGGAUUGUGCCACCAUACCAAUGAAACUCACCUAAGCUGUAUGCAUGCUUGGCAAUAAUGACAUAGGCAAAGGGAAGGACCCACAGGCUCCAUAUCUGAAAAAGUAACAUAAUUCAUUGCUGGGAACCAAAUAGCAUUUCAAUUGUUUGGAUACAGCAAAGUGUCAUGUCAGGACUUCUCUUUCUAAAAUGGAAGAAGAAAAGCACAUAGUUCUUUUCGAAGUAUUUAGGAAAAUCUAUCAUGUUCAGAAACUAAAUUUAUUGAGAAUAAUUUGAGAAAUUUUGCUAGCUAGUGAUCAUACAUUAUAGAACAAUGUUGCCUGUGCUUGACAGUAAGUAUUUUGCAGUUCUGUACUACUCAAAAGUUUUUAAGUUUGGAAGUAUCUGUUUAAAUGAUGUAAUGUUCAUACCUCUGGAAACAAGGAGAUGCCUCCAAGGAGACAAAGGGAUGGGACAGCAACAUAGCAUAGCAUAGCCAAGGAGUAUGCAGCCCACAGAUUAUAGAUAGAGUAUGCGAGUUGAAGUUUCAGAGGAACCUUUUUGUGUCCAUAUAUAAAUGGACAGUGUCUCGAGAGAAACAUCUGAAGGUGGCCUUCAGACCAUCUCUUAUGUUGUACUAGUGACUGCAACAGUGUUGUGGGCGCAACACCCAAGAAGCCCUUCCUUUCUGGAUUGACAUAGACGGAUUUCCAACCUCUACAUUGUAUUGAGAAUCCUGUGAUAAUGUCUUCCACUGCACAAUCAUACUUCACGCCCAUCUGCAAUUCAACAUAAAGAUUAAGUUUUUUAGCUUAAGAAAAGGAAAAAGCUUUACAGGCAGGAAAUUCAUGAGACAGAGACAGAAGAACCUCCUUUCCCCAUUGACUGUUCUCUUCAUAGGUACAACUUGCAAGGACCUUACAUGAUUCUUCUAGUACACUAGCACUUUCUCUUCCUCUUCUGUCAUUCUCUUUCUUCCAUUCUCUCUCACAUUCCUUGUCAUAUUUCAUUCCACACAGUGCCACUCUCCUAUGAAAGCACCCGGUACCAAUAUAGAAAGGUCCUCCAUUAGAAUCAAGGCCUGGAAGUUCCACCUUUUUCACCAGUCAUGCCAAAAGCCAACAAUAAAAUCAUUAGGAAGUCAUUGCUAAUGCCUACCUCCUCUAGGCCAAGCAGUAAGGAAUAAAUAAUUCUUUCCAAUCUUGCCUACCUGAAUAAUCACCCUAAAGCAGGUGCCAUAUAAGUCAUUCCUAGUAAGAUUAUCGUAGCACUGUGGAAACUGGACAUAAGCAAUUUCAUGGCCCUUCUCUUCAUCCAUGAAAAAACACAGAGCAUCUCUCACUGAUUCUGAAUUGUUGGAGUACAUGUCACAGUCCACAUUAAGAAUAAUCGAGCCAUUGCUUAUCUUUGAUGACACCCUUAUCUGUUCAACAAAAUCAGAGUCACCUACAUUAAGAUAAUUGGCAGUGGUUCACUGUAGGAAAGCUGAAGUCAUUUAAGCUUACGAGUGCAUUCAUGGCUCCAGCUUUAAAAUUGUGAUGGUAUUGGGGUCUCUUCUCACGGGACAAGUAUACUAGAGUUGGCAAAGGUUGUCCUUCAGAGUCCACAGCCUUGGGGUCUCUCCCAUCAAUCACUAUCUGUUACUUUAUAUAAUAUUAGUAAAAGAUGAAUCAAAGAUAAAUAUGGAGAAAAACCAAGAAGAGAUGUAUUGAUUUUCAAGAAGAAAUCUCUUGGAAUAGGAAAAAAAUACACAAAUUAGUAGAAUAACUACUUGAACAAUGGACUGAUGGUCAUGCCGUGUUGAAGCACUGUUCCACUCCAGAAAUCCCUUGUGCUCCUUUCUUAUUUCUUCUGAAAUUCUCCCCAGUCUAGUGGUGGUUUCGAUUCUAUUCUUCAUGUCUUCAUACAAUUCCUAUAAUGAGAAAAGGAAUAGAACUUCUAAAUCGUAUGUAGAAAAACUCUAAAAAGAUUUGCCUAGUAUGGGAGUUACACAUACUCAUUACAACAUGGAAAGAGAGAAAAAUUCAAGUACCAUACCACAUGCCAUUACAGUCUGAUGAACAUUUUCUUUGUUCUCCUAAGAGUUUAAGUUCCUAGGAUUUGGACUUUUUUUUUUUUAAUUUUUAAUUUUUAAUUUUUAUUUAUUUGUGGGCAUACAUGUGGGCUCAACAAAUCAGGAAAAUAAAUAUGUAUUGAGGUUUGAAUACAUGAUCUCCCACCCAGCCUGCUUUAUCAAUUUUACUAAAAACUUAACUUUGCAGGAUUUGCACCCAUAAUAUAUAUUAUACUCUUCCACACUCAUCAUUAUUUAUGAUCUCUAAAUUGUUUGCAGGAUUUGGAUCUAUAAUAUAUGUUAUACUCUUCCACUCUUCAUCAAUUAUGAUCUAUAAAUUGCUUGUACGAUUUGGACCCAUAAUAUGUCUUGUACUCUAUCAUAUUCCUCAAUUCUAAUCCCUCAUAGAAUUUAUUUGAGUGGUCAUAAUGCAAGUCAAAUCUUAAGAGAAAGGAAGGAAUUUCAUCUUCGUCACAGUUUUAAAACGUGUCUACUUGGUUAAGAGAAACCUCUACAUAUAUAGUAUUAGGAACAUUUUCCCCUAUCCGAUGUGAGACAUUACAAACGCCCUUCCAUGUAGAUACAAUGUCCUCGUUGUGUCCUAUGGGAUUGUGGGGCCAAACAAACAAACACUCCUUACGGGGCCAAACAAACCCCCACACCGGGGUUGGGGAUCGGCUCUGAUACCAUUUGUAACAAUCUGUUCCCAAUCGUGUAGAUAUUAUCCGCUUUGGACCCAAAGAGGCCAUCAUGACUUUAAAACGCGUCUACUUGGUUUAAAGGAGCCUCUACAUAUAUAGCGCCAGAAACAUUCUCCCCUAUCUGAUGUGGGACAUCACACUUGCCUUUUGCAAAGUCCUUAAACCAUAUUUUACACUGCUUUUAAAAAACACUUAAUUUUACUUUAAAAAAUAUUUUUGAGAAAAAAAUAUGGUCGCUUCAUAAAAUUUAAAAAACAUUUCUAAAAAAUUAAAAAAUCUUAGCAUUCUAUAUAUGAUCCUCCCAUAAAAAAAAAAAAAAAAAAAAAAAAAAAAAAAAAAAAAAAAUCUUCUUCUAAAGAACACUACCGAGCACACACUCAUUCAUUCAUUAUCUUCCCUGCAAAACUUUCCGGAAAAGAUGCAACAAUUUUGAAGUGGGUCAGACUGAUGAUGCACAGCGGUCGACAUUAAUGUUGGGGAUCUUUCGUAUCUUAAAUAGUUACUCAUUAAAAGGACAGCAUCCUUCUUACUGUCUGAGGCUCUCUUCCAGCUUCGAUUAUUUCCUUUAACAAUUGGGUCUUUGGAAUGAAGUCAGAGCAGCCUUGGAAGUAGUUGCAGCUUGCAAAUAUAUGUUGACAAUUGAUCUUAAACCAAAAUUCAUAGAAUCCAAGGAGAAAAAAACAGAGAAAGUUGUACCUUGAUGGACAACCACUCCUGAGCCAUGAGAGGAUUGCUAUCAGGGGGUUCAGAAGUUGUGGAAAAAUAAGCAGCAGGUGAUCUUGGUUCUAUACUGAACUUCCUACAAAAUGGUAGCCAAUGUUUUGAGAAGCGAGAGGCCUCCAACAAAGCAUAGAAGGUCAGGUCUGAGCCUCCAUCAUCAGAGAGAUAGACGCUUAGGUUCUGUGAUGGGUAAUUGUAAGCCAUGACUGAUAAAACAGUGUUGAUGACCAUGAUGGGUGGCUCUAUUCUUGGAUCUGCAGUGCACACAAAUAUGUCUAUGCCCGGCAAAACCUCCUCAUAUCUGCAAUGAAAUUUCAGAACGAGCCAUUAGCAGGUGAAGAUAGGAGCAAGAAGAGGGAGAGAGAUUGAAAAAACCUCUGAGAGAGCCUGUCUUUGAAGGUGUAACGAUAGAUGGGGCUCCAUCUAACAAGCUGAGUGAGAAACCAGUAGAAACUGAACAACAACUCAGAUGGAAACAAUCCCAUCCAAGCCCAUCUUCUUAGCAAUUGUGCGCCUGCAGGUGGGAAGUGAACCACCCUGUAAACCCAGAUAAAAAUAAUACCCACAAACACUGAUGCUGCAUAACAUCUGUAUAGGAUACGACCCUUUGCAACCUUGGUUUCAAAGAGAGGAAGAUAGCCAUCUCUGCCCAUUUCUACACUGCCUCUCUCUCCAUUCAUUUCCAUGACCUUAUAGAGUCACAUGACUUUUUUUUUUUUUUUCAGUGGAUUAUUGGAAGGACACCAUUGGUGGAGCCCUUUUUUCGAAAUUUACAGUCCUUGUAUGCUAUACUUUGUCACCAUGUGAGUGGGUAACAUUGGGUGGGCAGGCCAAAGGAUGGUUUUAUUUUUUAAAUAUUUUGAACACAUUUAAAAAUCAAAGAAUUUUGAUCUAUGGAAAUUAAUGACUAGUUGGUGUUAGUCUUUGAACGAAAGAGUACUUUGCAGUAUCAUAUUAAAUUCGUUUGUCUAAUAUCAUUUCAAAUCAUGUAAGGUCACAUGGCGACUAAGUUGUUAUUAAAAAAUGCUUUCACGUAUAUGAAAAAUAUGACUACUCCAACGCAAAAACAAUAUAAAAAAGAUUAGGGUGAAGAAUGUGAUUAAGUUAAUAAAAUAUAUAUAUAUGAUUAAAGAUAUAAUGUACUAAAGCAGUAAGAAUGUUGUCAUAUUCCUAGUAAGGACAAGUUGGUCUUGAAAUUUUGUCUCAAAAAAUCUCCUGUCACCUUCAAAACGUAAGAGAAGGUCUCACAAUCUCUUUCAAAGUUAUAAAUGACUUUUUUAAAACACAACUAAUAUAGAUCAAGAUAAGAAUAAAUGUCUCUUUCACAAUGCUUUUGGAAAGUAUUUUUAAUAUAAAAUUAAAAAAAUUUUUUUUUUUUUUUAAAAUUGAAUAUUUGGUAAAUUUUUAAAAAUCAUUUGAAAUAUUUUUUAAAGAAAUAUAUGAUAGAUGGUUCUUUUAAAAAAAAUAUUUUUUAAUGAAAUUUAAAAAAAUAUUUUUAAGAAGUUGAAAAUUUUCUUAUAGUGUUUUUUGAAGAAGUAUUUGAUAGAAAUGGAAAUAUAGAGAAAUAGUAAUAUAGUAUGAUGUAAUAAGAUGUAAAAAAAAGAGUAAAGUAAUUGGACAAUGUAAACAUAUUCAAAAGUGAGAUUUUGUGGAAAAAUAUUAGUUUGCAAUAGAAAAUAAGGGCAAAAAUAAUGAUGUUGAAUGUGUAAUGUACAGUGAAUAAGGAAUGAUAGAUAAAUAGAAUUUGUGAAAAAAAAGAAAAAAAUUAAGGAUGUGUGGUUGGACAAGGAAUUGAUGUUUUGAUGUUGUAUGGUAAAGGAGGAAAACAAAAUUUAAAUAUAGAAUUAGUUAUUAUAAGGAUUAAUUAAUAAUAAGGGAUAUAACUUUUUUAUUUUUUAUUUUAUUUUAUGGUACAUCAUAAUGUCAUAUUUGUAUUAAUGAGAUUUAUUUUAUUUUAUUUUAUUUGUAAUUUAUAAUUUAAUCAAUUUAUGCUAUAAUAUUUAGUCCUAGUGAACAUGACUUACAUUGUUAAUUUUUGUUACUUAGCAAGUUGUAGAAGAAUUGAAAAAGGUGAACGGAGAGUGGUCAUUAACCUAAUGAUAUCAUUUGAUUGACUUAAUUCUCUUUUGAUUUGAAAACAUGUUUAUCAAAAUCCCAUUAGUUUAUGCAAAUUUGUUUAUAUUUUGUAAGCUGAAAUUUCCAUGACAUUUUAUGUUCUUUUUUUUCUUUGUUUUUACCAAAAAGCUCAUCAUCUCUACUUUUGAAAUGCCCCUUUUGACUGCGUUUUGGUCCCUUGAAUGUGGAUAAUAAGUCACAUCAUGAGUAGGAAGGCAUCUCAUUAGUUUGUCAUUAGCAACUUUGUGAGUAGGAAGGAAUCUCAUUAGUUUAUCGUUUGCUUAGUCUUAGAAUUAGGGAUGAUAAUAGGAUGAGUUUUUUUAGUACCCGUUCCGCACAUAAUGGGGUGAGGUUUAAUUUUAAUAAACGAAUUUGGGACGAGUUUGAGAAUUUUUUUUUUUAAAACUCGCAACAGGUUCAGGUAUUGCCUCGUAUCGCCCAAUUAUAUAUAAAAUUAAUUUAAUUUAAAAUUUAAAAUUAAUUUAAUUUAAUUUUUAUUUUACUAUUUUUAAUAUAUAAAUAAUAAUUCUUGGGGAGAACUUUAAUAGGGUUAAAUACUAAAACUGCCCUUCAACUAAAACUUUUAAAAUUCAAAGUAUUUAAAGUACUUCACUUGAUUUGUCAGGAUAUUUAUGGUGCAUAGGUUCCACAUUUAUUGUAAUUAUUGAUAUUCAAAUUUUAAAUCAAAAUUUUGGUUUAACCCUUACAAUUAUAUAUAAUUUUUUAUUUAAAUUUACCAUUUAAAACAAAAAUAUUUUCAAAAUUGUUCUUUAUUUUUACAUUUUUUUAUUUUUAUUCUUUUUUUAAUUUUAUUAAGAAAAAAGAUAAGUUUUAUAAUUAUAUAGUAAAAAUGAUGAUUUUUUCAUAUAUAUAUAUAUAUAUAUAUAUAUAUAUAUAUAUAUAUAUAUAGAUUAAUUUUAAAUUGAUAAAUUAUGUUUUUGUAUUAAAUUCAAAGAAGAUAAAAUGUUUAAUUUUUCAUUCAUAUUAUUUAAAAAUAAUAAGAAAAUGAUGGAGAAUGUUUAAUCAUUUUUUAUUUUUAUAAUAAAAUAAUUUAAAAAAAUUUAUAGUGUUUUUUUUUCCUCAAUGCAUCAAGUGGAUGAUGUUAAUAUAUUUGAUAUGUUGAAUAUUAAUAAGGUAUAAAAAGUGAUUUUAAAGAUUAUUACUUUUUUUUAUAAAAUACAGGUACAACAAAAAUAUGUUAUAAUUACAAUAUAAAUACACUUACAUUACAAUAAACCUAAUUAGGAAAUUUUUGAAAUUUUUUAUAAAAAUGAUAAUUUUGUAUGAUCAUACCAUAUUUCACAAAAUACUUAUAUCAUAAAUAAUUUCUAAAACCAAAUGAAAUACUAAUUUGAAUUCACUCGUAGUUUUAUUUUUUAAUAAACAAAAAUUAUUAAAUAAUUUUAAUGCACUAUAUGAAUGUUGUUAAUAUAUUGAUACGAUGUGUUAAUACCAAUAGGGUAUGAAUAAAUAUUUUUAGAAUUAUUAUUUUUGUAAUGAAAUAUAGUUAGGACAUAAAUGCAUUAUAUUUAUAAUAUAAAUGCACUAUCAUUACAAUAUAUUACAACAUAAUUUAAUUUAUUUUUGUUUAAUUUUUUCACAUGUUAUAUUACCCAAUGUAUAAUUGUGAGUUAUUAUAUUUAAUAGGUGUGUGUUAGUCAAUUGAAUAUUUAUAUAUUAUUCAAUUGACAAGUGCUUGUAAAAAAUAAUUAUUCAUUCUAUUAUGGUAACAAAGUUUUUAAUUAUAUGUUCUAUUAAUAAAACGAUAUAAUAAUAUUAGGAUAUGGUUUUUCUUUAUGAGAUAUUGAAAAUUAUUUUUUUUUACAAGAUUCUUUAAAAAAUCUCAAUUUUUUUUGAAAAAAAAGAAGAAAAAAUAACAAAUUUUAAACAAUCACUUGAUUGUUUAAAAAUGAACAACAAUUUUUUCGGGUAUGAGAAAUGUACUGUAUUUAUCAUCAUGUAUGAGCCUCAUAUCAUAUAAUCUCAAAUUUAUUUAUAAAUAAUAUAGAAAACAUAUUCAAGGAUAAAACUCUCUUCUAACAAUCUUUAAGAUGAGUGGGCCUUUCUAGUAAUUAUUCUUUCUAACCUACCUGUAGACCCCUCAGCUAGGGGCAUUGUUUUUAUUUUUAUUCAUUUUUUUUUCUUCUUCUUUUCGGCUUUUUUUAUCCACCCGAGGCCGGCUGGAAGUGAAAGGAGGGAGAAGGAGCUAUCCUUAGGCGGCUGUAGGGAGCAGGGAACAGGAGAGCAGGUGUUAGAUUUCCGGAUCUGAGGAAAAAGAAAAGAAAGGGUGAGGGAGAGAGAGGCAAGGGGGGGAGCGUCUUCUGUAGAGAGAGUGUGCUUUUCAGAGGGUGUUUUUUUGCUGCUGGUUGGCCGGAGAUAUUUUUGAAGGAGAGUUUCCAGGCUGGUGACAAGGAGAGGCUGCCAGGAGAGGAAAAAGAGGUUUUUUUCUCUGCAGUGGACUUGAAGCUAGGGGGAGAGCUCGGAGGGGAGGAGUUUUUGGAGGGGAUUCGCAGUAGAGCUGAAGGAAAAGAAGAGAACAGAGGAUGAGAACAGUGCCAGGUGAGAUUGAGGUAAGUGACAUGUUCAUCUGGAUUCAUAUUGUUUUUUUUUUCUCUUUCGAGUUUUUGGAUUGCUCUGCAUUGCUCGUCUUGUUGAUUUUUGAAUUUUUUUUUUUUUCAUUUCGUUUCCAUGCAAACUCAUUCUUUUUCAUCCCCCUGCAAAGCUUUAAUGCUCAUGUGCAUUGCUACCCUAUCAUGCAAGCCAUUCCCUCACCCUCUUCCUCCAUUCCGACGUCUUCCGCUCUGUCGACCAAUGCUCCGAAAGUCGCCUUCGGCGCGCCCAGGUGGUGGCGGCUGUUGCUAUUACUGCCGCGACCACCCUCCAAAUCUGCUAUGGGUCCAGGUCUCAUUUAGACGGCGACGACAGCGGCGCCGAAGCUCCCGCCGGUGCUGUCGUCAAUGGGGAUGCGGAGGUGGAGAAAGUGAAGCACAAGAAGCCCGAGGCUUCUCUUGGCGAUCCUCGGGUGGAAAAGCUAUGGGUGGCAGCAAUGUUCAGGAAGCGUUUAUGGUUGCUAUUGGGCUUGAGGGUGAUGAUUUUUGCUAAGUGGGCUUGGGCUUGAUGAAGAUGGAGCUUAUUAGUGGGCUUAAGCUUAUGGAUUGGGCUUAUGAUGGAGAUGGAGCCCAAAGCCCUUUUUAAUUCCUAUUAUUAUCAUUAUUUUUAAUUCCUAUUAUUAUUAUUAUUAUUAUUAGCGGAUAUUAUUAUUAUUAUUAUUAUUAGCGGAUAUUAUUAUUAUUAUUAUUAUUAACGAAUAUUAUUAAUAUUAAUAUUAUUAUUAUUAUUAUUAACGGAUAUUAUUAUUAUUAUUAUUAUUAUUAUUAUUAUUGUUGCUAUUACUAUUAUUAUUAUUAUUAUUAUUAUUAUUAUUAUUAUUAUUAAUUAUUAUUAUUAUUAUCACUAUUAUUAUUAUUGUUAACAUUGUCAUUAUUAUUAUUAAUUCAAUUUUCCAAAUCAUUAUAUUAUUAUUAUUAUUAUUAUUAUUAAUUCAAGCUUUUAAAAUCUUAUUAUUAUUAUUAUUAUUAUUAUUAUUAUUAUUAAUUAUUAUUAUUAUUAUUAUUAUUAUUAUUAUUGCUAUUACUAUUAUUAUCAUUAUUAUUAUUAUUAUUAAUUAUUAUUAUUAUUAUUAUUACUAUUAUUAUUAUUGUUAACAUUGUCAUUAUUAUUAUUAUUAUUAUUAUUAUUAUUAUUAUUAUUAUUAUUAAUUCAAGCUUUUAAAAUCUUAUUAUUAUUAUUAUUAUUAUUAUUAUUAUUAAUUCAACUUUCAAAAUCUUGUUAUUGUUAUUAUUAUCAAUUCACACUUUCAUAAUCUUAUUAUUAUUAUUAUCAUUAAUUCAACUUUUAAAAUAUCAUUAUUAUUAUUAUUAUUAUUAUUAAUUCAACUUUUAAAAUCUUAUUAUUGUUAUUAAUUCAACUUUUAAAAUAUUAUUAUUAUUAUUAUUAUUAAUUCAAAUUUUAAAAUAUUAUCAUUAUUAUUAUUAUUAUUAAUUCAACUUUCAAAACCUUAUUAUUAUUAUUAUUAUUUCAAAAUCUUAUUAUUAUUAUUAUUAUUAUGAUUAUUAUUAUUAUUAUUAUUAUUAUUAAUUCAAUUUUUAAAAUAUUAUUAUUAUUAUUAUUAAUUCAACUUUCAAAAUCUUGUUAUCAUUAUUAUUAUUAUUAUUAUUUCAAAACCUCAUUGUUAUUGUUAUUAUUAUUAUUAUUAUUAUUAUACUAUCUCUCAGUUCAAUUUCCUAAUAUUAUUAUUAUCAUUAUUAUUAUUGUUAUUAUUAAAAAUCUAUAUCCUCGCAAUUUAAUUUCCUAAGGUUCAUUUCUUCUUCUUAUUAUUAUUAGUAUUAUUAAAGAUCUAUAUUCUUGCAGUUCAAUUUCCUAAAGUUCACUCAUUAUUAUUAUUAUUAUUACAAAUUCAACUUUCAAAACCCAUAUUCUCGCAAAUCAAUUUCCUAAAGUUCAUUUCUCAUCUUCUUUGGCACAUUUCAUUUUAAUUACUGGAGCUCUAAUCUUUCAAAUUUAAUUCCCAAUACUCCAAUUUUCAAGUAAGCUCCAAUAAUCCAGUUUUCACUCGAAUAGUUUUUAAUCACAUUUCAGUUCCUAAAUAAUCUUCUGAUCUUCUUGAUUCUGCAUAAGCAAUAGUGAUUCCUUCAUAAUUCUAAAACACGGGAUUUGUGGGAUUAGCUCAUGAACAAUAAAUCGGGCUUUGUUGGGGGCCCUAUGUUUGACCCCUUUUGACUGUCAAUUAUCGUGCUUACCGUAUUUUGCUUGAGCUUCGUUUUGCACUCCGAUAUGUAUGAGCCAUGUUUUGUAUUCAUUAAUUGUGCACUAAUCCCGUUUCUUGAUAGCGCAUUGUGGCUCGUGGCCGAGGUACGCAUCCACUCCCUUUCUAGUCAAUCUCUAUACGUAUUCUGGUUCUCGUUUGUGCAUGAUUGACGUGAGUGUUCAUUGACUUUCUUAUUCGAUUGCCACAUCAGCUUCCUUUUAUUAGUAGAGACCCGAUUUUAGGGACUUAGAGGGAUGCUAUGGUCUUCACCGUACCUUCCCGAUAAGUAACCUGACCCCCGAACUCGAUCCGAUUUUUCACAGACCACCUUUUCCAAAACAAGGAGUCACACUUAGGGUUUUUCUUUCUUAUUUUGUUUACCCUUUAAAAAUAAAACAAAAAUAAGUGGCGACUCCAAGUCAAUUUUUCUUAAUCAAUAAAGAUCAAUUUUUCGAAAUCAAAAUCGAGCUCGCCAUCGAGUGGAAAACGCAUUGAGCCGAAAUGCGGGGUCCACAAAAUGGCGACUCCGCUGGGGAUCUUUUAGAGGGUCAAGCUUGAACUUAAAGUGAAGCAAACGUGGCGUUUGGUGAGUCGAUCNNNNNNNNNNNNNNNNNNNNNNNNNNNNNNNNNNNNNNNNNNNNNNNNNNNNNNNNNNNNNNNNNNNNNNNNNNNNNNNNNNNNNNNNNNNNNNNNNNNNUGAGUACAUUGACAUGUUGACUAUAUUGAUUGAUCAUCUUGCCUUGGUUAGCAUAAUCAUUCUGAUUUUUCCAUGUUUGUUCUGAUUACCUCACAUGUAUAGACUCACCAUUGUAUAUCAUUUGAUUUGACAUGAUUGAUUCUCUUGGUUAUAUAUUAUCUUGUUUAUCAUAGAGCAUGCUAUCAUUUGUCAGAUAUUCUUCUUGAUUGGCUUGUGUGUAGAUUUGGAUGAUAUAUACCUGUUUUGCAUGACUGUCUGUUGCAUGACUCUUCUCAUCCUGAUGCGACUGCAUGAGUUGUGUGUCUAUGUGGAACACACACUUAUCCCCUUAUUUCCAAGUCCUUAGUCUCGGUCGACAUUGUUUUCCUUGCUCUCAUAUUUGAUACGAGACUUGUUGCCUUGUUUGCUCUUCGACCGAGCUAGUGAUUAGGAAUAGGGUCUAGCAACGGGCUAUAUCUAUGUUUGGGAGCAUUCUGGAGGUGGUCGACAUAUUGAUGUUGAUUGGAGUCCGAACUUUGAAGACUUGUAUAGCCCAGAGCUAGAUUUCAGGAUAUUUGUGUGGUCAGUGUGUUUUCUUUUAGUUUCAUAGGGUUGUCGGAUGCACCCACACCACUCACUGUGGACUUUAGUCGAUUACUGAGUGCUGAGAGAUGUGAGAGCUUUCACCAUAGGAAACUCCCUGGGAUGUCGAGGUAGUGCAUGUGUGGAGGUGAUGACCACCUUGCAUGGAAGCGCUCUGUCUCUUCGGAGGCGUGCAGAGGGUUGCGUACCGUUGGAGGGUAUGAUCGCUUCUGCUAGGGAUCCUUUAAAGUCCACCCAUACCCAUUUAGAGCCACCUUGACCUUGUAGGUUGAGCCGUAGAUCCUUCGAUUAGGACUCCUUCCCUACACAUGGGUGCAUUUGAGGGCCUUCAGAGCCUCUUUAGUUACAGUUCGGAUCCAGUAUUCCCUCUUUUUAGUCUCCAGUUGAGAGUGCUCGGAGAUCGGUAUGAGUUUGAGUAUCGGUUGGAUCACCUUUCGUCUGGUCGCCUUAGUUUGCGUUUUUCACUUGACGAGUUUNNNNNNNNNNNNNNNNNNNNNNNNNNNNNNNNNNNNNNNNNNNNNNNNNNNNNNNNNNNNNNNNNNNNNNNNNNNNNNNNNNNNNNNNNNNNNNNNNNNNAUUAUAUGACUUCCCUAUCCUCGGUUUUUUCUAGCUUUACACAUCCCUCUCUGAUUUGACCAGGUAGAGUAUGAGGAGUUUGAGCCUAGGGUUGAUCUCGCAUGACGAUGGUUGGCUUAUGAUCUUUGGGUGGCUUACGAUGUGAGGAUUGGUCGAUUGCUUGAUGAGACUAUCACUUAUUUUGCCGUGAGUAUAGAGAUUGAUAUUGUAUGAUGAGAGUUGGCUUGUGAUGGGAAGUAUUGCUUGAUGAGAUCACCGUUUACUUCGCCUGAUGAGUACGGUUGAUACAUGAUUCUAGAGAGAAGUUCAGACCCAACUGGAGCGGACCUUAUUCCAUCAGGGAGCUGACCCCAGAAGGCGCUGCAUGGUUGAUGGAUUUAGAUGGAAACAGAUUCUUAGAGCCGACUAAUGUAGAUCAGCUGAAGAGGUACUAUGUUUGAGACCAUGGUCGCAGGAUGGGUGGCCCUCAUUUCGGUUAGCCAUAUACCUUGUUAUUCCAUUUUGAUACAGAGUCCGUUGCUAGCCCCUUGAGCCUCGCAUACGCAUUGUAGCCUUUAUUUCUUAUGGCCUUGCUCACAUUUUCACACUGGGAUAGGGGCCCUUUAAUGUAUGCAUGCAUUGUUUGGGGGUCUCAUGAGCCUUGGACCUAGGAGCACGUUUUUCUCAUUAUCUUUUCCUAUCACUACACAUCAUUUCCACCAUCUAUCUCACAGACAUUGGUUUAGAGAUUCUUAGUUUGAGAAGGUCAUUUCGUCAGAGAGAGUUUGUUACCUUAGCACUUGGGAGUGUGUCCGUUUGUUAUUGAUAUCAUCUUUGGGGUUCAUUUGUUCAUGUCCAGGGUACGCGUAUUUGUAUAUAUGUAAAAAAAAAGAAAAAAAAAAAAAAAGAAAAAAGAAAAAUAAUAAUAAUAAUAAGCGCAUGUGUGUAUGCGCAUAGUGUUCUCGAUCAUUGAGUAUGUAUAUUGAUGUUUGGGGUUCAUUUUUAUCGAGUAUGUUUGUUAUUGAGAGUUCGUAUGUGAGCUCUCUGUGAUCCCAUGUUAUUUGUAUUGCUUUGUCAUAUCUAUUUGUGAGAGAGAUGAGUGACCUUCUCCUAAGGACUCCGAGUCAUUGUCCUUUCCAUCAUUAUAUUCAUUAUUGAUGUGACUUCACUUCAUGAUUGAUCUGAGUUGAUCACCAUCUUUCUUCACAUAUUCAUUGUUUCGCUGUCGUUUUUNNNNNNNNNNNNNNNNNNNNNNNNNNNNNNNNNNNNNNNNNNNNNNNNNNNNNNNNNNNNNNNNNNNNNNNNNNNNNNNNNNNNNNNNNNNNNNNNNNNNNNNNNNNNNNNNNNNNNNNNNNNNNNNNNNNNNNNNNNNNNNNNNNNNNNNNNNNNNNNNNNNNNNNNNNNNNNNNNNNNNNNNNNNNNNNNNNNNNNNNNNNNNNNNNNNNNNNNNNNNNNNNNNNNNNNNNNNNNNNNNNNNNNNNNNNNNNNNNNNNNNNNNNNNNNNNNNNNNNNNNNNNNNNNNNNNNNNNNNNNNNNNNNNNNNNNNNNNNNNNNNNNNNNNNNNNNNNNNNNNNNNNNNNNNNNNNNNNNNNNNNNNNNNNNNNNNNNNNNNNNNNNNNNNNNNNNNNNNNNNNNNNNNNNNNNNNNNNNNNNNGUUACGUCCCGUGUCUUAAGACCACCCUGAGACCGUGGGAUCAGAUGUCGUCUUUGACAGCCUCUACUUGGACAGGUGAUUGAGAUCUGGUUGACAUUUAGAUAUCGUCAUGCUUCUUCUUCUGGGAGUCACCUCUUUAAUGUGUAGGACUAAUUCAAUUGUGUUUGGAUUACCGGGAUCGUGAGUUUGAUGAUGAUUGACUUGGUGUCAUCUGAUUUUUGACCUGUCGUACCUUUGGUGCCACACUGGGGGCAUAUCCCACUUCAUUUGGAGGUUUAUGGAUCGUCACAGAUUUUGCACGAUUCGUUAUCACUUACUAGAUGCUCAUUGAGACGUGGACAUGAUCGUUACCUUACGGAGCCCUCGAGAUCCCUCUAGCUAGUUCCGCACUUCUUGACGCUUGGAUGCCAUCAUGCCUCUCCAUCUGGGAGGUCAUCUUGGAUAUAUGUGCAUGAUUCAGUUAUGGAUUCGGAUGACCAGUAUCGCAUGAUCGAUGAUAAAUGAUUUCAUGUCGCUCGAUUUCUGACCUAUCAUACGUUCAAUGCCCAUAUUGGGGCAUAUUUUCGUUUCGAUUGAGAUUUACGGAUUUUCAUGGAGUUGCAUGCUCAUCUCCACUUACGAGAUACACAUUGACACGAUGUUUCCUCCGUGGAGCCUCUCGGGAGUUACCCAGUUAGGCCUGCACUUCGCGACGCUUCAAUGUCAUCAUGUUUUCCUUCCGGGAAACGCCCCUUUGAUCUAUGGGUCUGAUUCAGUUGUACACGUGGAUGACUUGGAUCGCGCAUUCGAUGACGAGUGAUCUGAGCUCAUCUGGUUCUUCUGACCUAUCACACAUUGUGUUUGAUAGCUCUUAUGUGAGCGACACUUGGGAUGGAUUCGAGAGCAUUCUGAUUGUGAUGGACCAGGAGUUAUGGUAUGACCCUACACUGGGGCAUAGCCAUCUCAGGGAGUUUUAUUAUCGGAUGACCAUUAUGUCGAGGCAUACUCUUCUCAGUCGAUGACGAAUUUUUGAGCCAUGUCUCUUCCUUGGAGGAUAUCAGAUGUCCUUUUUCACAUUGGAGCAUGAGACGUGAUUGGCGCGUUUCAUCCGGUGUACUUUACACAGGGGCGUACCCCUUUCGGUCCAUGAUGGUUUUUAGGCAUAGUUGUUCCUUGGAGGCGAUUAGAUUCAUUUCACAUUGGAGUACGGGAUAUGAUUAGUUGAUUUCUUUGAUGUGAUUACAGGAGCGUAGCCUUCUCAUCAUUGUUGACAGAUUUUUCAGAUGAUUGGAUCAGGACACAGACACUUAUGAGAGCAUGUAGUGGGGUUUAGUCAUUUCAGGGUUUGCCCUAUACUGGGGCAUAACCCUUUCAUUGGCAGUUGAUCUUAGAGAUAUCAGUUCACAUUGGGACAUGCUAUUUCUUUAGAAGAGGUCAGAUGCUUUCUUCAGAUUACCACGAUGACUUUGAGGAGCGGAGAUUCAUUUCGAUCAGAUGAUGUAUGAUUGGUUGUACUCUUCUCAUGGAUGUUGGUUUUGGAGAUGCUUACAGGGGGCAUAGCCCACUCGUCUUGAUGAUGAUUUUGCGAGAUGACAGUUUAUACCAGACGCAUACUUUUCAGAGAUUAUCUUGUACUGAGAGCUUAUCCAUUUCGAGAUGAUGCAUUCACACUGGGGCAUACCCACCUUGCUGAUUUUGACAUUGAGAUUCCACUUCCUGUUUAUGAUUGUUGCUUUCGAUGGAUCAUAGAGUUGUUGGCACCCUGGGUUCAAUCUUCUCGACGUACUUGGUCCGACUUGGGUACCCACUUUCCUUUGUUACACACCUAUACAUCCUACAUUGGACUCUGUUAUACCUGCACUCAUCUUAUCAGAGCCUUACAUCUUUUGAGCUCACAUAUUUCACCAUCUUACAUGACUUUAUCCUUUUGUCUUGAUCAGAGGAAGAUAUGGNNNNNNNNNNNNNNNNNNNNNNNNNNNNNNNNNNNNNNNNNNNNNNNNNNNNNNNNNNNNNNNNNNNNNNNNNNNNNNNNNNNNNNNNNNNNNNNNNNNNUGUCUUGAUCAGAGGAAGAUAUGGACUAGUCUUGAGCUUUCUAGUUGAGUUGUCACACACCUUUGGACAUUAGAUUCAACAUCUUCCGUGACGGUAGGGCUUGUUAGAUUGUUGAUAUAUUUAUGAUGAUGUUCUCAUAUUGAUAGUUGACACGUCAUGUCUUGAUUUGCUUACAUUUCAGGCUUAGAGUCUUGAUCAGCAUUUGUUUGAUCCAUUAUUUUGGUUUUGCUUUGUCAGCAUAGUUUUGGUGAUGUUUGGUCUUGUUUUAGCAUUUGUUCAUUGAGGCUAUGUAUAUCUUGUCCAUUGCACCAUCGUUGAGCAUAUCCCGGAGUGUCUUGUAUGGUGAGGUUUUGUGUCUUAUGUUAGUUACUAUCCUACACUGGGGCAUACCCCCAUCCUUGAGUUCAUCGGAUCUUUUGUGGACUCUCUCACUGCUCGAUCUAUUUCUUGAUCUUUAUGGGUCAUCACACUGGGGCAUACCCCCUAUCCUUGAGUUUAUCAGGUCUUUUGUGUACUUUCUCACUGCUCGAUCUAUUUCUUGAUCUUUGUGAGUCAUCAUACCGGGGCAUACCCCCUUUUAGCGUUUUUCCUACUGGGUCAUACACCCCUCUCUUUGGGUUUGCCAUGUCUCGUGCUGAUUUCAUGAUUGACAGACGCAUUUGUCGAUCUUUGCGAGUUAUCACCUAGGGCAUCCCCCUACCGUCAGUUUGUUUAGGGCAUUCCCUUAUUGUCACCUUGUUUAGGGCAUCUCCCUACUGUCAUUUCGUUUGGGGCAUCCUCCCACUGUCAUUUACGUUUGGGGCAUCCCCCACUGUCAUUUACAUUUGGGGCAUCCCCCCACUGUCAUUUCGUUUGGGGCAUCCCCCCACUGUCAUUCUCGUUUUGGGGCAUCCCGUCACUGUCAUUUUUCUUUUGGGGCAUCCCCUCACUGUCAUUUACGUUUGGGGCAUCCCCCACUGUCAUUUCGUUUAGGGCAUCCCAUUAUUUUCAUCUUGUUUAGGGCUUUCCCCUGCCGUCAGUUUGCUUAGGGCAUCCCCCUUUUGUUUUAGAUUUAUCACCACCGUAGGUCUUCACCUAUGGGCCUUCUAGUUUAGUGUUUAGAGUUAGCUUUUUGGUUUGGCUUCCAGAGCUAUUAUUUUUCUCAGUUUAGCAUUUAGAGUUAGUUUUUUGGUUUGGCUUCCAGAGCCAUUGACCUUCUAGUUUAGUGUUUAGAAUUAGCUUUUUGGUCUGGUUUACAGAGCUAUUAUUUUUCUCAGUUUAGCAUUUAGAGUUAACUUUUUGGUUUGGCUUCCAAAGCUAUUAUUAUUAUUAUUAUUAUUUUUCUAGUUUAGUGUUUAGAGUUAGUUUUUUUGGUUUGGCUUCUAGAGCCAUUAUUCUUCUAGUUUAGUGUUUAGAGUUAGCUUUUUGGUUUGGCUUUCAGAACUAUUAUUUUUCUCAGUUUUGCAUUUAGAGUUAGCUUUUUGGUUUGGCUUCUAGAGCCAUUAUUCUUCUAGUUUAGUGUUUAGAGUUAGCUUUUUGAUUUGGCUUCUAGAGCUAUUAUUUUCUUAGUAUCAGUGUUCAGAGUCAUCCUCGUCGCUUUUUUAGCUUCGGCGUUCAGAGCCAUCACUUCUUAGUAUCGGCGUUCAGAGCCCAUACUGGGGGAUAUUUUCCGUUUCAGAUGAGAUUUACGGACUUUCAUGGAGGUCACAUGUGCGACAAUGGAUGAUUUCGUGACAUUUGUUCUUCGGACCUGUUGCGCACCUGAUGCCAUACUGGGGCAUAUUCCGUUUCGGAGGAUCUUUAUGGACCUUCGCAGAGGUCACAUGUUCGAGGAUAGAUGAUUCCAUGCUAUCUGAUCUCCGACCUAUCAUACAUUUCGAUGCCAUAUAGGGGCAUAUUUCGGUUCGGAUGAGAUUUACAGAAUCGUGAGGGAGUCGCGUGCUUAUCCUUAUUUGGCGAGAUGUAUGCAGAGAUGAUGUUAUAUUCGCUAUCCUCACGAUGAUUCCUUAGUGGAGCCUAUCGAGAGCCAUCUAGCCAGGCAUGGAUGACUUGAGCUCAUCUGAUUUUUCUCGAUGCCACACUAGGGCAUAUUCCCCAUCUUGAUCGAGAUUUGUAGAUUCCCCACUGAUUUGCAUGACCACCCUCAGUUAUGAGAUACACGUCAGGUUGAUGAUUCGAUUCCAUUUUAUCCUGAUACUUCGAGGAGCCUCUUUUGAGUCUUUCAGCCAGAUCUUACUCUCUGAUACAGUCGCGGUUCUUGGACGGAGUUAUGUCGAGUGCCUGGAUCCCCACGUCACCAUAUCAGUGGGGUACAUAUCAGAUCUUUUACGCAUCCCCAUGGUGUUAUUCUCGGGGUUAUCAGGACGGAUCGGGUACAUCUAAUGUCAUACUAGGGCAUAUUUCCCUCCUUUAGCCAUGGAGGCGAUCGUUCUCUCACAGACCCGUUAUAGCUUUCGUCACUCAGCCGAGAGAUAUUGUGUUCGUCUCAUUGACCAUUAUUCCUGAGCUCUUCAUCGAGAUAAGCUCUCAGUGGAGCGUUGAUCGAGACUCGUAGAGUCCCUUUCAGCCAUCUCUAGCGGUUUGAGAUUUGCAGCGGCAUGCCACACUAGGACAUAUUUCCCCCUCAUUGUUUCCUUACGGUCUGGUGUUCAGGGCCGCUGUUCAUUCACGGUUUACGACAUUCAGAGUUAUCAUGUCACACUUUCAGUUCGGCGUUUAGAGCCACUUCUCUAGUUCUUGUUGUUCAGAGUCAUCAUCAUCACUUUUUAGUUUCGGUGUUCCGAGCCAUCAUUGUCGCUUUUCAGUUCGACGUUCAGAGCCAUCAUCGGUUUUCAGAUCGACAUUCAGAGUCGCAUCCUCAGUUUCGGCGUUCAGAGCCAUCAUCACUUUUAGGUUUCGGCAUUUAGAUCCAUCACCGUGUUUUCAGUUCGACGUUCAGAGCCAUCAUCACUUUUUAGUUUCGGCGUUCAGAGCCAUCACCGCGUUUUCAGUUCGGCGUUCAGAGCCAUCAUCACUUUUUAGUUUCGGCGUUCAGAGCCAUCACCGUGUUUUCAGUACGGCGUUCAGAGUCAUCAUCACUUUUUAGUUUCGACGUUCAGAGCCAUCACUGUGUUUUCAGUUCGGCGUUCAAAGCUAUCAUCGGUUUUCAGAUCGACAUUCAGAGUCGCAUCCUCGGUUUCGACGUUCAGAGUCGUUAUCACUUUUCAGUUUGACGUUCAGAGUCAUCAUCAUCACUUUUUAAUUUCGGCGUUCAGAGCCAUCAUUGUCACUUUUCAGUUCGGCGUUCAAAGCCAUCAUCGAUUUUCAGAUCGACAUUCAGAGUCGCAUCCUCAGUUUUGACGUUCAGAGCCAUCAUCACAUCUUCGUUGACGUUCAGAGCCAUCGUUAUCACUUCUCAGUAUCAGUGUUCAGUGCCAUCGAUUGCCGGUUUUGGCGUUCAGAGUCAUCAUCACAUCUUCAUUCGGCAUUCAAAGCCAUUAUCACUCCUCAGUUUGAUGUUCAGAGUUGUAUUCUCAGUUUCGGCUUUCAAAGCCAUCAUCAUCACUUCUUAGUUUGACGUUCAGAGUUGCAUUUCCGGUUUCGGCGUUCAGAGCCAUCACCGCAUCUUCGUUUGGUAUUCAAAGCCAUCCUCAUCACAUUUUCAGUCUCGGCGUUCAGAGCCAUUGUCACUCCUCAGUUUGACGUUCAGAGUCGCAUUCCUGGUUUCGGCGUUCAGAGCUAUCAUUAUCAUUUCUCAGUUUCGGCGUUCAGAGUCAUCGUCACUCCUCAAUUUGAUGUUUAGAGUCGCAUUCCUGGUUUCGGCGUUCAGAGCCAUCAUUAUCGUUUCUCAGUUUCGGCGUUCAGAGCCAUUAUUACUCCUCAGUUCGACAUUCAGAGUCGUAUUCUCGUUCGGCGUUCAGAGCCAUUAUUACUCCUCAGUUUGACAUUCAGAGUCGUAUUCUCGUUCGGCGUUCGGAGCCAUUACAUCAUUCAUUCCGACGUUCGGGGCCAUGUUUUGCUUCGUUUGGUGUUCAGGGCUAUUGUCCGCUUCGGUUCGGAGUUCAGAGCCAUUGCAUAUUAUUCGUUCGGCGUUCAGAGCCAUCAUUAUCACUUCUCAGUAUCGGUGUUCAGAGUCAUCCUCAUCACAUUCCCGAUUUCGGUGUCCAGAGCCACCAUCACAUCUUCGUUCGACGUUCAAAGCCAUCACUCAUCGGUAUCAGUGUCCAGAGCUAUACUCGUCGUAUUUUCAGUUUUGACAUUCAGAGCCAUCAUUACUACUCCUCAGUUUGAUGUUCAGAGUCGUAUUCUCGUUUGGCAUUCGGAGCCAUGUUUUGCUUCGUUUGGCGUUCAGAGCCACUGCAUAUCAUUUGUUUCGACGUUCGGAGCCACACCUUCAUUCUGUGUUCAGGGCCAUUAUCUGUUUAUUAUUAUUAUUAUUAUUAUUAUUAUCAUUAUUAUUAUUUAAUGUUCUGAGUUGCGAUUUUAGUUCGACGCUUAGAGUCUUCAUGUUUAUCUUUUGUUCGAUUCAUCACCAUUUUCCUUCUUUCUGGCGUUCAGAGCCAUUGGACACGCCCUUUCAGACCUUUUGAUUUUCUUAGUUUUGACGUUCAGAGCCGCUGUUCCAUUCGAUGUUUGGCGCCCCUACCACAUUUUUCUUUUAGUUUGGUGUUUAGAGCCGUUUUUCAUACCCGUUCAGGCAUUUUGAGUCACCACCUUUCUUAGUUUUGACGUUUAGAACAAUUGUCCUGUUUAGCAUUCAGUGUCACCGUCAUUCUCUAGUUUAGCGUUCAGAGCCAUUGUAUAUAUUCAUUCGAGGACCUUGAGUCACCAUCUUUCUGUGUUUGACGUUCAGGGUCAUUUCUCCCCGACUGUAUCGUUUAGAGCCAUAGUGUCGACGUUCAUGUUCACCAGCAUUACACAUGUUGCCUUCAGGGGUUUGCAUCUAUCCUUGUUUUCCUCAUCGUGUCACCCUGUGCUUAUCGCUUAUUCGUCAUUGCUCUUCCAGAUUUCUCUUUUCAUUGCUCAUGAUGUAGUCCUUUGAGUUUACGACACAUACUUCGGUCAUGUCGUUGGGCACCCUACACUUGGCACUUUCAUAUAGUUCCCUUGGGGCAAUCUUCUCGGGGCACUUUCUUUAUGGUAUUCCAGAGUGGUUCGACCGUUACCCAUUUUUAAUAUGGUUUUUCGAGUCACUUAUAGAGACGUCUUAGAGAGAGUCUAAAUCCUUUGGUAUGGCUUCAGAGUCAUUUUGAAGCAUCCCUUUUCUUUUAGGGUUAGAGUCUUUAUGUUCGUCUGUUGGCCAGAGUAAGUCCAUGUUUCCCUGGUGUCCCUGUGGGGGUCUCUUUGGUUCUUCGGUAGAGUUCACUUCAUUCCACUCAUUAUUCACACUUUCUUUUCACUCUAGUGUUCAUAUUCCUUACAUUUGUAAACUCUACCGAAGAGGGGCAUAUUUGUAGACCCCCUCAGCUAGGGGCAUGGGCGGGGGUUUUUAUUUUUAUUCAUUUUUUCUUCUUCUUCUUUUCGGCUUUUUUUAUCCACCCGAGGCCGGCUGGAAGUGAAAGGAGGGAGAAGGAGCUAUCCUUAGGCGGCUGUAGGGAGCAGGGAACAGGGGAGCAGGUGCUAGAUUUCCGGAUCUGAGGAAAAAGAAAAGAAAGGGUGAGGGAGAGAGAGGCAAGGGGGGAGCGUCUUCUGUAGAGAGAGUGUGCUUUUCAGAGGGUGUUUUUUUGCUGCUGGUUGGCCGGAGAUAUUUUUGAAGAAGAGUUUCUAGGCUGGUGACAAGGAGAGGCUGCCAGGAGAGGAAAAAAAGGUUUUUUUCUCUACAGUGGACCUGAAGCUAGGGGGAAAGCUCGGAGAUGAGGAGUUUUUGGAGGGGAUUCGCAGUAGAGCUGGAGGAAAAGAAGAGAACAGUGCCAGGUGAGAUUGAUGUAAGUGACAUGUUCAUCUGGAUUCAUAUUGUUUUUUUUUUCUCUUUCGAGUUUUUGGAUUGCUCUGCAUUGCUCGUCUUGUUGAUUUCUGAAUUUUUUUUUUUUUCAUUUCGUUUCCAUGCAAACUCAUUCUUUUUCAUCCCCCUGCAAAGCUUUAAUGCUCAUGUGCAUUGCUACCCUAUCAUGCAAGCCAUUCCCUCACCCUCUUCCUCCAUUCCGACGUCUUCCGCUCCGUCGACCAAUGCUCCGAAAGUCGCCUUCGGCGCGCCCAGGUGGUGGCGGCUAUUGCUAUUACUGCCGCAACCACCCUCCAAAUCUGCUAUGGGUCCAGGUCUCAUUCAGACGGCGACGACAGCGGCGCCGAAGCUCCCGCCGGUGCUGUCGUCAAUGGGGAUGCGGAGGUGGAGAAAGUGAAGCACAAGAAGCCCGAGGCUUCUCUUGGCGAUCCUCGGGUGGAAAAGCUAUGGGUGGCAGCAAUGUUCAGGAAGCGUUUAUGGUUGCUAUUGGGCUUGAGGGUGAUGAUUUUUGCUAAGUGGGCUUGGGCUUGAUGAAGAUGGAGCUUAUUAGUGGGCUUAAGCUUAUGGAUUGGGCUUAUGAUGGAGGUGAAGCCCAAAGCCCUUUUUAAUUCCUAUUAUUAUCAUUAUUUUUAAUUCCUAUUAUUAUUAUUAUUAUUAGCGGAUAUUAUUAUUAUUAUUAUUAACGGAUAUUAUUAUUAUUAUUAUUAUUAUUGCUAUUACUAUUAUUAUUAUUAUUAUUAUUAUUAUUAUUAAUAAUUAUUAUUAUUAUUAUUAUCACUAUUAUUAUUAUUGUUAACAUUGUCAUUAUUAUUAUUAAUUCAACUUUCAAAAUCUUAUUAUUGUUAUUAUUAUCAAUUCACACUUUCAUAAUCUUAUUAUUAUUAUUAUCAUUAAUUCAACUUUUAAAAUAUCAUUAUUAUUAUUAUUAUUAUUAUUAUUAUUAUUAUUAUUGCUAUUACUAUUAUUAUUAUUAUUAUUAUUAUUAUUAUUAUUAUUAUUAUUAUUACUAUUAUUAUUAUUAUUAUUAUUAUUAUUACUAUUAUUAUUAUUGUUAACAUUGUCAUUAUUAUUAUUAAUUCAAUUUUCCAAAUCAUUAUAUUAUUAAUAUUAAUUCAAGCUUUUAAAAUCUUAUUAUUAUUAUUAUUAUUAUUAUUAUUAUUAUUAAUUCAACUUUCAAAAUCUUGUUAUUGUUAUUAUUAUCAAUUCACACUUUCAUAAUCUUAUUAUUAUUAUUAUCAUUAAUUCAACUUUUAAAACAUCAUUAUUAUUAUUAUUAUUAUUAUUAUUAUUAUUAAUUCAACUUUUAAAAUCUUAUUAUUGUUAUUAAUUCAACUUUUAAAAUAUUAUUAUUAUUAUUAUUAUUAAUUCAAAUUUUAAAAUAUUAUCAUUAUUAUUAUUAUUAUUAAUUCAACUUUCAAAACCUUAUUAUUAUUAUUAUUAUUUCAAAAUCUUAUUAUUAUUAUUAUUAUUAUGAUUAUUAUUAUUAUUAUUAUGAUUAUUAUUAUUAUUAUUAAUUCAAUUUUUAAAAUAUUAUUAUUAUUAUUAUUAAUUCAACUUUCAAAAUCUUGUUAUCAUUAUUAUUAUUAUUAUUAUUUCAAAACCUCAUUGUUAUUGUUAUUAUUAUUAUUAUUAUACUAUCUCUCAGUUCAAUUUCCUAAUAUUAUUAUUAUCAUUAUUAUUAUUGUUAUUAUUAAAAAUCUAUAUCCUCGCAAUUUAAUUUCCUAAGGUUCAUUUCUUAUUAUUAUUAUUAUUAGUAUUAUUAAAGAUCUAUAUUCUCGCAGUUCAAUUUCCUAAGGUUCACUCAUUAUUAUUAUUAUUACAAAUUCAACUUUCAAAACCCAUAUUCUCGCAAAUCAAUUUCCUAAAGUUCAUUUCUCAUCUUCUUUGGCAAAUUUCAUUUUAAUUACCGGAGCUCUAAUAUUUCAAAUUUAAUUCCCAAUACUCCAAUUUUCAAGUAAGCUCCAAUAAUCCAGUUUUCACUCGAAUAGUUUUUAAUCACAUUUCAGUUCCUAAAUAAUCUUCUGAUCUUCUUGAUUCUGCAUAAGCAAUAGUGAUUCCUUCAUAAUUCUAAAACACGGGAUUUGUGGGAUUAGCUCAUGAACAAUAAAUCGGGCUUUGUUGGGGGCCCUAUGUUUGACCCCUUUUGAUUGUCAAUUAUCGUGCUUACUGUAUUUUGCUUGAGCUUCGUUUUGCACUCCGAUAUGUAUGAGCCAUGUUUUGUAUUCAUUAAUUGUGCACUAAUCCCGUUUCUUGAUAGCGCGUUGUGGCUCGUGGCCGAGGUACGCAUCCACUCCCUUUCUAGUCAAUCUCUAUACGUAUUCUGGUUCUCGUUUGUGCAUGAUUGACGUGAGUGUUCAUUGACUUUCUUAUUCGAUUGCCACAUCAGCUUCCUUUUAUUAGUAGAGACCCGACUUUAGGGACUUAGAGGGGUGUUAUGGUCUUCACCGUACAUUCCCGAUAAGUAACUUGACCCCCGAACUCGAUCCGGUUUUUCACAGACCACCUUUUCCAAAACAAGGAGUCACACUUAGGGUUUUUCUUUCUUAUUUUGUUUACCCUUUAAAAAUAAAACAAAAAUAAGUGGCGACUCCAAGUCAAUUUUUCUUAAUCAAUAAAGAUCAAUUUUUCGAAAUCAAAAUCGAGCUCGCCAUCGAGUGGAAAACGCAUUGAGCCGAAAUGUGGGGUCCACACUACCCUAUCAGGUAACUCUCCCAAAAUUAUAUACACAAGAUUCCUUGACGUGAAAUAGUAGGCAUUUGAUGGCGACAUUUGGCAAUUCCCUUUCCAUUGCCAAACUUCGGCAGCAGUGUUUCCGAAACGUGCAUGGUGGUGGUAGACGAGUGCUUGAUGGAGGAAAUUUGGAGGUUCCUGCCUUCCAGGUUGUGGAGCUCAUUUCAGCAUAUGGGCUUGCACCGAUUUCUAGAUCAAGGUCUCAUCUGACGGUCAAGUUCAAACACAGAAAAGAAAAGAACAUAGAAGAGAGGUUUUGGGAGGGUUAGUCACCUCUUUUCCAAUAAAAGAUCUAAAGCCACUAAUAAAAAAACCAACCCACUUCAUAAUUUCGAACAUAAAAGAUUGCCUUCUUACUUAAGAUUUUGAAAAUUGAGGUUACCGUAUGAUUGUACAUGAAAAAAAAAAACGAUGUUCAUAAAUAUCCUUUGUAACAAAAUAAUAAGUGAUUUAUUUUUUAAAAUAAAUAAAUAAAUAAAUAAUCAAUUUUAUAAAUAAAUAUCUAGUUUCCAAUAAAUCAAAAGUUCUGCAAAGCGUUACAUAAUAUACAUAGAGAGGUGUGGUGAAGAGACGCUUGGCUUACUGAUACAAAGCUAUUGAGCAGGCUAAUAGUGCUAAAGCAAACGAUUUGUACGUGACAGAGGUUGGCAUGGCGCCCUUGUCCUUGUGGAAGAAAAGCCCUUGGUAUACAGGCAGGUUGAUGAGAACAACGACCCCACAUAAGAUACCCUGCAGUGCUAAUGACUCCAAAGCUUUGAUUUGAAUACCCACAAACACCCUCUUUACACAACAAACAAAACUGAACAGAUUGAGCAUUGCUAGUGUGGCUAUAAUGGUAAACAUUGGUGAAGGAGAGCCGAACUCCAUAACUUCUUGCUCGUAUCUUCGAGACACAUCUUCAUCAGACACCUUUGCAGUGACUGCAAAAGUGGUCUCAGCAAACCCUAGUAGCUUCAAGAUUGUAUCAAGGAGGACAAAGAAAUAGGAAGUUGUCCUUCUCAACGCCCAUAUCCUCUAUUCAUUCCACCAACCUUGGGUUGUGCCACCAAACCAAAGAAACUCGCCUAAGCUGUAUGCAUACUUGGCAAUGAUGACAUAGGCAAAGGGCAGUGCCCACAGGCUUGAUAUCUGAAAGGGGUAUAAUUCUUAAUAAUAAUGAUGAGUUUGGGAUUAAUUUGCUUUAGUAAUGUUAAAUUCAUUCCUCUGGAAACAAGGAGAUGCCUCCAAGUAGACAGAGGGAUGGGACAUCGACAUAGUAUAGUGUAGGCAAGCAGUUUGGAGCCCAGAGCAGCUAAGGACAAUAUGAGAAUUGAAGCUCUAGAGGAAUCCUUUUAUGCUCAUAUAGGAGGGGGCAGUACCUUGAGAGAAAGAUCUGGAAGUUGCCUUCAGACCAUCUCUUGUGUUGUAUUAAUGACUGCAAUAGUGUUGUAGGGGCAACACCUACAAAGCCUUUCCUUUCUGGGCUGAAACUGAUGGAUUUCCAACCUCUGCAUUGUAUUGAUAAUCCUGUAAUUAUAUCUUCCACUAAACUACCAUACUUCAAACCCAUCUGCAAGUCAACAUAAGCAUGAAGUUUCUUACUCGAAGAAAGAAGAAAAAGGAAAAAAGUAAAACGAUGGCAUUGAUGAGACAAAUAGAGGAACCUCUUUUCCCCAUUGGGUGUUCUCUACAUAGCUGUUGAAUUUUUAAUUUUGCCUUAGUAUCGGCUGGAAUUUGAAUUUUAAAGUUAGAUAUUGCAACUGGAGUCUUGCACAAAAUUUGCACAUCCAAAUAUUUUCUUGUUUUUAUUUGAUCAAGAUUUGGUUUCUAUUUUAUAGGAAGUAGUUGUUCAUCAUCUAGUAGUUUGAUUUUCUACUAUUCUAAUGUCAUUUCAGUUACAAGCUCAUAAAUAAAUUCAACACUCUUCAUCAAUAAAAAGUAUGUUCCAAUAGCCUAAAAAUAAAUAUUCUGCAUAAGUGUUUAAUCUAAGAUCAUCAUUUUGGUAUCAGAGCAGAAAUUAUCUUGAGGGGCCAGUGAGUUGAGUGAGCUAGAAGUUAUCUUGAGGGGUUAGUGAGUUGAGUGAGCCUGAAUACCUUGAGAGUGCCUAAACUCCUAUAGACCCUUGAGGUGAGUGAACCCAAAACACCAUGAGUGAACCCAAAUAACUUCUAAAAUCAUCUAGCAAUAGAGAAGUCAAGUCUCACAACUGCACCAUCAAUUCUUGAUGGAGACAAUUAUGAAACUUGGGUUGUUAGAAUGAUAGUUCAUUUACAAGCACUUGAUGUUUGGGAAGCAGUGAAAGAAAAUUAUGAAGUUCCUCUCUUGGGAGCCAAUCCAACUGUGGCUCAAAUGAAGUUGCAUAAAGAAAGAAAGACAAGAAAGACUAAAGCGAAGGCUUGCUUGUUUGCUGCAGUUUCACCAUCAAUUCUCAUCAAAAUCAUGAAAAUUGAUUUAGUUGCAAAAAUUUGGGAGUAUCUCAAGGAGGAAUACAAAGGAGAUGAAAUAAUCAAUAACAUGCAGGUGAUGAACUUGAUUCGAGAAUUUGAAAUAAAGAAAAUGAGGGAGUCUGAUGCUGUUAAAGACUAUGCUACACAACUUCUUUCACUAGCAUACAAAGUUAGGUUGCUUGGAAAAGAAUUUUCCAAUGAGAAGAUUGUUCAAAAGAUAUUGGUUACACUUCCUGAGAAAUAUGAAGUUACAAUUUCCUCUUUGGAGAAUUCAAAGUGAUAAAACAAAGGCUAUGAAUAAUUAAGGAAAAUACCCAAAAUGGGGGGUGAAUUGUAUUUUUUCAAAAUCUUUUUCCACACAAUAAUAUAUGCACAAAAUAAAUAAAGGAAAGAGAUAAAGUUAGAGAAUUCAAACUCGGGUUUAUAGUGAUUCGGCACUUCUUUGCCUACGUCCACUCUCCUCAAUCUCCUAACCGAGUGAGGGGUCCACUAACUUGAAGCUUCAAUCAAGCUUUCAAUCUUCUUACACUUGGAUUCCGGCUCUAAUGGGCUCUUACACAAUCUCUUCAAGAUUUGAACCACUUAAAGGCUUUCACACUCAGUUUACACAAAGAUGAAACUCUCAACCUAGCUUAAGGAUGACUCAAGUACAAGAGAAAGCUAGGAUGCUUUACAAGAGUGCACUAAGAAUAUGCAAGUGAUGGUUCAAUGCACUAAGAAAGAAAUGAGAGCUUUUUGAUGAAGAAUAGGUAGGUAGACAAUUGAUUGUAAAGGUUCUCUUAGUCAUAAAUGAAGUGGAGCUCUCAAUUUAUAGGUUUCUAAGCUCGGAAGACAAAAACAACAGAAAGUAGCCUCGACCGGACGAGCAAAGGGUCGACCGGUUCACUAGCCGUUAGAGCAUUUAAUGCAUGAUAGGUUACCGUUGCCUCAACCGGACCUCGACCGGUAAAGGAAUCACCUCGACCGGGAAAAGAAGGCUACUGGGAGAGAGAGAAGGUUUUUAACCUUCCUCGACCGGUCCUCAACUGGACGACCUAAAUCGAUCGACUGGUUCCUUAACCGGUUGACCGAUUGGCCUUAGCCUCGACCGGUUGAGCCUUUUGGCUCCGAAAACCUAUCAUUUUUUAUUUCUUUCUUUUCCAAUACUUAAGCAAGGUCUUUAGGUCAGUUAAUAUGCCAAUUUUGAAUCAAUUUGCCUAAGGUAUAUUUAAUAAAACUCGGGUUUUAAAGAAAAUCAAGUUUUAAAGAAUAAACCGAGUUUUCUAAGAUGCAUAAAAAGGUAUGAACAUCCUAAGUGCACUCAUGCUAUCAUCUUACAUUCAUUUCCUAUGAUCUCAAGUCUUCCAAGCGUCUCGAUCUUGUAUCCAUUUGGUCCUUUGAUGAAUUUUCGAGUUUACACCUGAGAUUCUUAAACGUUAAACCAAUUAGUUACUUAACCAUGGUUUGUUAUCAUCAAAACCCGAUUAGGAGAACCCUUGGGCUAACACAAAGGAUUUGUCAACUAUUAGCUUGAUAGAAUUAUUAUAUUCAUUGGAGGCUGUGGAACAAAUAAGACUCAUGAGACAAGGAGAUACUAUAGAAGGAGCAUUUCAAGCAAGAAUGCAAAAAAAUGCAGGCCAUAAAAAUGGAAAGAAGAACAAGAAGAAGAAGAACAAGCCAAACAACAACAACCAGAAAAAUGGAGUUUUUCCACCUUGUCCUCAUUGCAAGAAAACAAAUCAUUCUCCACAAAAAUGUUGGUGGAGACCAGAUGUGAAAUGCAACAAGUGUGGUAAACAAGGGCGUGUGGAGAGGAUUUUCAAAAAUCAACAACAGGAAGAAACUAGUGCAACAGUUGACCAAUGACUGGAGGAGCAAUUGUUUGCGAAAAUGUGUUUUGCUAAUAAAAACACCUCUAAAAGCUGGCUUAUGGAUAGUGGUUGUACAAACCACAUGACUAAUGAUCAAGAUCUUUUAAGAGAACUUGUUAGAACAACUAUUUCCAAAGUCAGAAUUGGAAAUGGUGAGUAUAUUCCAGUGAAGGGCAAAUGAAUGGUUGCUAUCGAAAGCCAAAUAAGUUUGAAACUCAUUUAUGAUGUUUUGUUUGUGCCUGACAUUGACCAAAACUUACUCAGUGUUGGACAACUUGUUGAGAAAGGAUUUAAAGUUUAUUUUGAAGAUAGGAAUUGCAUUAUCAAGGAUGCUGAAGGCAAAAAGGUGUUUAACAUAAAAAUGAAGGGCAAGAGCUUUGCCUUGAAUUUACUGAAAGAUGAGCAUGCUGCUUGUUUUGCAACAAGAUAGUACAACAAUGCUUUGGCACAGAAGGCUCGGGCACUUUCAUCAUGAUGUUGUGCUCUACAUGAAGAAAAAUCAAAUAGUUGAAGGACUUCUUGACUUAGAAAAAGAUCUUCCUAUAUGUGCUACUUGUCAAUUUGGGAAGCAAACUAAACUUCAUUUUCCAAAGAAAACAUCCUAGAGAGCAACCCAAAACUACAAUUGGUGCAUACUGAUGUUGGUGGACCUCAAAAGACGCCAUUCUUGAAAGGAAGCAUUGUUCACCAACUCACUGCACCAUAUAAUCCAUAACAAAAAGGAGUCGUGGAGAGGAAAAAUAGAACAAUUUUGGAGAUGACAAUAUGCCUUGUGCAUGAAAAAAAUCUGCCUAAAAUUUUUUGUGCUGAAGUUGCAAGUACAACAAUAUAUUUGUUGAACAGAUUGCCAACAAAAAUGUUAAAAAAGCAGACCCCUUUCAAAGCUUGGUUUGGUUAUCAACCUAAAGUAAUGAAAUUGAAAACAUUCGGUUACUUAUGUUUCUCUUUUGUUCCUAAGGUGAAAAUGGACAAGCUAGAAAAACAAUCAGAGAUGAGAAUUUUCGUUGGAUACAGUGACACUUCAAAGGCUUAUAGAAUUUACUUGCCACAAACUAAUAAAAUUGUGGUGAGUAGAGAUGUCAAGUUUUUGAAAACAAAGAAAUGAAGUUGGGAUGAAAAGAUGCAGCAGUAUAAUGAUGAAAAUGUUGAUGAGCUUCCAGUUAGAGGUACCCGAAAACUCUUUGAUAUUUACUGUUAUGUUGAUGCUACUGCUGCUGUAAAUCAAGUUUUAUGACUUAGGAAGUUGCUGACAGAUUUGGACAUGAAGCAAGAAAUGAGUACUCAAGUGUUUGUUGACAACCAAGCUGCUAUAUCUAUUGCCAAUGACCCAAUUUUUCAUGGCAAAACAAAGUACUUCAAGAUUAAACUAUACUUUCUAAGAGAGGUGCAGAAGGAAGGAGAUGCACAUAUAGUUUAUUGCAACAUGGAGAGUCAAAAUGUUGAUAUAUUCACUAAACCUCUACCUAAAGCAAGGUUUGAGUUUCUACGUGGAAGACUUGGAGUUUGCAUCUACUAAGUCAAGGAGGAGUGUUGAAUUUUGAAUUUUGCCUUAGUAUCUGCUAGAAUUUGAAUUUUGAAGUUAAAUAUUGCAGCUGGAGUCUUGCACAAAAUCUGUAACAUCCAAAUAUUUUCUUGUUUUUAUUUGGUCAAGAUUUGGUUUCUAUUUUAUAGGAAGUAGUUGUUCAUCAUCUAGUAGCUUGAUUUUAUGCUAUUCUAAUGUCAUUUAAGUUACAAGCUCAUGUAUAAAUUCAACACUCUUCAUCAAUAAAAAGUGUGUUCCAACAGCCCAAAAAUAUAUAUUCUUCAUAAGUGUUAAAUCUAAGAUCAUCAUUUUGGUAUCAGAAAGUUAUCUUGAGGGGCCAGUGAGUUGAGUGAGCCUGGAUACCUUGAGAGUGCCUAAACACAAAGAAUAGCUACAACUUGCAAGGACCUUGCACAAUGCUUCUAAUACACUUGCACUUUCUCUUGCCGUUCUGUCGGUCUCUCUCUUCCAUUCUCUCUCACAUUCCUCGCUAUAUUUCAUUCCACACAGUGCCUUUCUCCUGUGAAAGCACCCACUACCGAUAUAGCAAGGCCCUCCAUUAGCAUCAAGUCCUGGAAGGUCCACCUUUUUCACCAAUUUGUCAUCCGACAAUAAAAUUCAUUAGGAAUCCUUGAUCUCUCUAGCCAAAAUAGUAAUGAAUACAUAGUUCUUUUCCAAUUUUGCCUACCUCAUUAAGCACCCUAAAGCAGGUGCCAUAUAAGUCAUUCGUAGUGAGAUUAUUAUAGCUCGGUGGAAACUGGACAUAAGCAAUUUCAUGGCCCUUCUGUUCAUCCAUGAAAAAGCACAAAGCAUCUCUCACCGAUUCUGAAUUGUUGGAGUACAUGUCACAGUCCACAUUAAGAAUGAUCGAACCGUUGCUUAUCUUUGAUGACACCCUUAUCUGUUCACCCAAAUCAUAAUCACCCGUAUAAAAAAUGAUGCAAUAGGCCGAGGUGCAUUGGAGGAAAGCUCAACUGAUUUUAUGGAUUUAGGAUUCAUGUGUGUAGAGGCUAGAGCAAAGUUUUACCAGUGAAUUCAUAGCUCCAGCUUUAAAAUUGUGGUGGUAUUGGGGUCUCUUCUCCCGGGACAAGUAUACUAGAGUUGGCAAGGAUUGGCCUUCAACAUCCACAGCCUUGUCCUCUCUCCCAUCAAUUAGUAUCUGUUAUUCUAUAUUAUAUUAGUGAAAUAUGAAGCUCACAAAUAUAAAUGUUUUGAUUUUCAAGCACCUGAACAAUGGACUGAUGAUUAUACUGUGUAGAGACAUGGUUCCACUCUUGAAAUCCUUUGUGCUCCUUUCUUAUUUCUUCUGAAACCCUGCCCAGUCUAGUGGUGGUUUCAAUUCUAUUCUUCAUGUCUUCAUACGAUUUCUACAAUGAGAAAACAGAGUAAGUGUUACACUGGAGCCAGAAAACCGAUAAAAGGCCCUAGUUAUAAUGGUUAAAGAUGAAAAAUUCGAGCACUGUGAGUGUAAAACUUACUGCCAAAGCUACAAAGCCUAAUGAAAAAUAAUUUGGUUAAAAUUCGUUCAUGAUAGUAGUAAUAGUGACAGACUUAAUAGAAUGCAUUUUAAGAUCAGAAUCCGAGUAUAAUCCUAAAAAAAAGGUUCAAACCUAAUCUGUGUUGUCUUUGAAUUCCAACAUGACUGUUCAUUAUUUGUAAUAUAAUUUAGGAAGGAAAAAUAUCUGGAAGAAUAUGGGAAGCAAUGAUCUAAGCAUGGUGGGACCAGUAUAUGGAAGAGGGCUGAGGAUGUGAUCUCUUUACAGUCUGUAGCAGAAAACAAAUUCAAUGACAGGACAGCUUUCUUCUUCUUGCUUCUUUCUUGGGUAAUUUGAAGCGAACAAUUUGUGUACAUUGCAUCUGAGUCUUAUUCCAACUUCAUUCAAUUUUUUUUUAUAACAAAUACUAGAAAGGUGGACCACCAACUCAGGGCAGCCAUGGAAGGAUAUCCUUAGUGCAAAAUUUAAAAACUAAAAAAAUUGAAAGAGAAAAGAAUGGCAAGGAAGAAGAACCAUUAUUGGGGAGGUUGAAUGAACUCAGGGCAGCCACGGAAAUAGUGCAAAUAUGUUAAAAAUAAAUGUUCAAACGGAAAUUAAUCUUAAACUAAAAUUCAUAGAAUCCAAAGAAAAAGAAACAGAGAAAGUUAUACCUUGAUGGAGAACCGCUCUUGAGCCAUGAGAGGAUUACUAUCAUGGGGUUUGGGAUUUGUGGAAAAAUAAGCAGCAGGUGACCUUGGUUCUAUACUGAACUUCCUGCAAAAUGGUAGCCAAUGUUUUGAGAAGCGAGAGGCCUCUAACAAGGCAUAGAAGGUCAGGUCUGAGCCUCCAUCAUCAGAGAGAUAGACGCAUAGUUUUUGUGAUGGAUAAUUAUAAGCCAUGACUGAUAAAACGGUGUUGAUGACCAUGAUGGGUGGCUCUAUUCUUGGUUUUGCAGUGCACACAAAUAUGUCUAUGUAUGGAAAAGCGUUCUCAUAUCUGCAAUUAAGUUUCACAAUAGGCAAUUAGCAAGUGAAGAUGGAGGCAAGAAAAGGAAGAGGAGGAGAGAAAAGAUCACCUCUGAGAGAGCCUGUCUUUGAAGGUGUAGCGAUAGAUGGGGUUCCAUCUAACGAAUUGAGUGAUGAACCAGUACAAACUGAACCACAAUUCAGCUAAAGAUAAACCCAUCCAAGCCCAUCUUUUCAGUAGUUGUCCACCUGCAGCUGGGAAGUGAACCACCCUAUAAACACAGAUAAAAGUGAUGCCCACCAAAACAGAUGCUGCAUAGCAUUUGAAUAGUAUACGACCCCUAGCAGCUUUUGUUUCAAAGAGAGGAAGAUAGCCAUCUUUGCCCAUUGCUUCUGUCUUUCUCUCACCACCAUGUGAUCAGCUUAUAUAAAUAGUUUGGUUUGCAUUUUUCAUUUUAUUGUUGUUAUGGUCAAAACUUUACUUUGCCGCUUUAAAUAGCAUCAAAGAAAGGAGUAAAAACAAAUUAUCCCAUCUAAGCCCACCCAUCUCUAAAUUGCUUUCCUCUUGUAAAUGACCCGAGCACAAAUAGAACAAGUACCCACAAAGAUUGAAACUGGAUAAACAGUGAAACAAGAUUUGACCCUUUUCAGCCCUUGUUUCAAACAGAGGAAGAGAAGCAUCUCUCUAGCUCUCAUACUCUUACUCUCCCUCUGCUGUCUCAUGCAUUACCUUAUAUAACCUGCCUACUGUUUCCUUUAAAUUCAAGAAUGUAUCUAACAAAGAGAGAAGGGAUAUUCAAGGUUUAAGCAUCCUCUGCAUGCACAAACAGAGUUCAUGUGCUCAUUCUUUUUUCCUUAAAAAAUUGCAAUUUCUGGACUCUCUGGUGACACCCUGAUGAACAGGGGUUUAAGCAAGAGGCUUGUAACAAAUUAAAAAUGGUAUAUGAUUAAUAUCUAAGCCUUUAUACCUGGAAAAACAUAUACUAUCCAUUAUUGAAAGUUGAAACUGCAUCAGUUAUACAUAUAUAACAGUUCUUGAGAGCAUUAUAUAAUACAUAUAAAGUUGUGGCAAAGAGACUUUGCUUACUGAUACAGUAAACUAAUACAAGGCUAUUGAACAGGCCAACAGCGCUAAAGAAACUGAUUUGUAUGUGACUGAUGUUGGCAUGGUGCCCUUGUCCUUGCGGAAAAAGAGCCCUUGGUAUACAGGCAGGUUGAUGAGAACAAGAACCCCACAUAAGAUAAUCUGCAGAGCUAGUGACUCCAAAGGUUUAAUUUGAAUAUCCACAACCACCCUCUUUAUACCACAAACAAAACUGAACAGAUUGAGCAAUGCAAGUGUAGCUAAAAUGGUAAACAUUGGUGAAGGAGAACCAAACUCCAUGAUUUCUUGCUCGUAUCUUUGAGACACAUCUUCAUCACACACCUUUGCAGUGACAGCAAAAGUGGUCUCAGCAAAGCCUAGUAUCCUCAAGAUUGUAUCAAGGAAGGCAAAGAAGUAGGAAGUUGUCCUUCUGAACAUCCAUAUUCUUUGAUCAUUCCACCAACCUUGGAUUGUGCCGCCAUACCAAUGAAACUCACCUAAGCUGUAUGCAUGCUUGGCGAUAAUGACAUAGGCAAAGGGAAGGACCCACAGGCUCCAUAUCUGAACAAGUAACAUAAUUCAUUGCUGGGAACCAAAUAGCAUUUCAAUUGUUUGGAUACAGCAAAGUGUCAUGCCAGGACUUCUCUUUUCUAAAAUGGACGAAGAAAUGCACAUAGUUCUUUUCGAAGUAUUUAGGAAAAUCUAUCAUGUUCAGACACUAAAUUUAUUGAGAAAUUUUGCUGGCUAGCGAUCAUACAUCAUGGAACAAUGUUGCCUGUGCUUGACAGUAAGUAUUUUGCAGUUUUGUACUACUCAGAAGUUUUUAAGUUUGGAAGUAUCUGUUUCAAUGAUGUAAUUUUCAUACCUCUGGAAACAAGGAGAUGCCUCCAAGGAGACAAAGGGAUGGGACAGCAGCAUAGCAUAGCGUAGCCAAGGAGUACGCAGCCCACAGAUUAUAGAUAGAGUAUGCGAGUUGAAGUUUCAGAGGAACCUUUUUGUGUCCAUAUAUNNNNNNNNNNNNNNNNNNNNNNNNNNNNNNNNNNNNNNNNNNNNNNNNNNNNNNNNNNNNNNNNNNNNNNNNNNNNNNNNNNNNNNNNNNNNNNNNNNNNGAAGCCCUUCCUUUCUGGAUUGAAAUAGACGGAUUUCCAACCUCUACAUUGUAUUGAGAAUCCUGUGAUAAUGUCUUCCACUGCACAAUCAUACUUAAGGCCCAUCUGCAAUUCAACAUAAAGAUUAAGUUUUUUAGCUUAAGAAAUAGGAAAAAGCUUUACAGGCAGGAAAUUCAUGAGACAGAGAGACAGAAGAACCUCCUUUCCCCAUUGACUGUUCUCUUCGUAGGUACAACUUGCAAGGACCUUACAUGAUUCUUCUAAUACACUAGCACUUUCUCUUCCUCUUCUGUCAUUCUCUCUCUUCCAUUCUCUCUCACAUUCCUUGCCAUAUUUCAUUCCACACAGUGCCACUCUCCUAUGAAAGCACCCGGUACCAAUAUAGAAAGGUCCUCCAUUAGAAUCAAGGCCUGGAAGUUCCACCUUUUUCACCAGUCAUGCCAAAAGCCAACAAUAAAAUCAUUAGGAAGUCAUUGCUAAUGCCUACCUCCUCUAGGCCAAGCAGUAAGGAAUAAAUAAUUCUUUCCAAUCUUGCCUACCUGAAUAAUCACCCUAAAGCAGGUGCCAUAUAAGUCAUUCCUAGUAAGAUUAUCGUAGCACUGUGGAAACUGGACAUAAGCAAUUUCAUGGCCCUUCUCUUCAUCCAUGAAAAAACACAGAGCAUCUCUCACUGAUUCUGAAUUGUUGGAGUACAUGUCACAGUCCACAUUAAGAAUAAUCGAGCCAUUGCUUAUCUUUGAUGACACCCUUAUCUGUUCAACAAAAUCAGAGUCACCUACAUUAAGAUAAUUGGCAGUGGUUCACUGUAGGAAAGCUGAAGUCAUUUAAGCUUACGAGUGCAUUCAUGGCUCCAGCUUUAAAAUUGUGAUGGUAUUGGGGUCUCUUCUCACGGGACAAGUAUACUAGAGUUGGCAAAGGUUGUCCUUCAGAGUCCACAGCCUUGGGGUCUCUCCCAUCAAUCACUAUCUGUUACUUUAUAUAAUAUUAGUAAAAGAUGAAUCAAAGAUAAAUAUGGAGAAAAACUUAGUAGAGAUGUAUUUGUUUUCAAGAAGAAAUCUCUUGGAAUAGGAAAAAAUACACAAAUUAGUAGAAUAACUACUUGAACAAUGGACUGAUGGUCAUGCCGUGUUGAAGCACUGUUCCACUCCAGAAAUCCCUUGUGCUCCUUUCUUAUUUCUUCUGAAAUCCUGCCCAGUCUAGUGGUGGUUUCGAUUCUAUUCUUCAUGUCUUCAUAUAAUUCCUAUAAUGAGAAAAGGAAUAGAACUUCUAAAUCAUAUGUAGAAAAACUCUAAAAAGAUUUGCCUAGUAUGGGAGUCACACAUACUCAUUAUAACAUGGAAAGAGAAAAAUUCAAGUACCAUACCACAUACCAUUACACACUCUGAUGAACAUUUUCUUUGUUCUCCUAAGAGUUUAAGUUCCUAGGAUUUGGACUUUUUUUAUUUUAUUUUAUUUUUUAAUUUUUUUAUUUGUGGGCAUACAUGUGGGGCUCAACAAAUCGGGAAAAUAAAUAUGUAUUGAGGUUUGAAUACAUGAUCUCCCACCCAGCCUGCUUUAUCAAUUUUACUAAAAACUUAACCUUGCAGGAUUUGCACCCAUAAUAUAUAUUAUACUCUUCCACACUCAUCAUUAUUUAUGAUCUCUAAAUUGUUUGCAGGAUUUGGAUCUAUGAUAUAUGUUAUAUUCUUCCACUCUUCAUCAAUUAUGAUCUCUAAAUUGCUUGUACGAUUUGGACCCAUAAUAUGUCUUGUACUCUAUCAUAUUCCUCAAUUCUGAUCCCUCAUAGAAUUUAUUUGAGUGAUUAGAAUGCAAGUCAAAUCUUAAGAGAAAGGAAGGAAUUUCAUCUACGUUGUACCAAUAAGACUCUUGCCUUCUGGAAAGUCCUUAAACCAUAUUUUACACUGCUUUUAAAAAGCACUUAAUUUUACUUAUAUAAAUAUUUUUUAGAAAAAAAUAUGGUCGCUUCAUAAAAAUUUAAAAAAAUUUCUAAAAAAUUAAAAAAUCUUAGCAUUCUAUAUAUGGUCCUCCCCAAAAAAAAAAAAAAAACUUCUGAAGAACACUACCGAGCACACACUCAUUCAUUCAUUAUCUUCCCUGCAAAACUUUCCGGAAAAGAUGCAACAAUUUUGAAGUGGAUCAGACUGAUGAUGCACAGAGGUCGACAUUAAUGUUGGGGAUCUUUCGUAUCCUAAAUAGUUACUCAUUAAAAGGACAGCCAUCCUUCUUACUGUCUGAGGCUCUCUUCCAGCUUCGAUUAUUUCCUUUAACAAUUGGGUCUUUGGAAUGAAGUCAGAGCAGCCUUGGAAGUAGUUGCAACUUGCAACUAUAUGUUGACAAUUGAUCUUAAACCAGAAUUCAUAGAAUCCAAAGAGAAAAAAACAGAGAAAGUUGUACCUUGAUGGACAACCAUUCCUGAGCCAUGAGAGGAUUGCUAGCAGGGGAUUCAGGAGUUGUGGAAAAAUAAGCAGCAGGUGAUCUUGGUUCUAUACUGAACUUCCGACAAAAUGGUAGCCAAUGUUUUGAGAAGUGAGAGGCCUCCAACAAAGCAUAGAAGGUCAGGUCUGAGCCUCCAUCAUCAGAGAGAUAGACGCUUAGGUUCUGUGAUGGGUAAUUGUAAGCCAUGACUGAUAAAACAGUGUUGAUGACCAUGAUGGGUGGCUCUAUUCUUGGAUCUGCAGUGCACACAAAUAUGUCUAUGCCCGG